rnacentral:rRNA from 1 species
AACGAACGCUGGCGGCAUGCCUAACACAUGCAAGUCGAACGAGACCUUCGGGGCUAGUGGCGCACGGGUGCGUAACGCGUGGGAACCUGCCCUUAGGUUCGGAAUAACUCCCCGAAAGGGGUGCUAAUACCGGAUAAUGUCUUCGGACCAUAGAUUUAUCGCCUUUGGAUGGGCCCGCGUUGGAUUAGCUAGUUGGUAGGGUAAAAGCCUACCAAGGCGACGAUCCAUAGCUGGUCUGAGAGGAUGAUCAGCCACACUGGGACUGAGACACGGCCCAGACUCCUACGGGAGGCAGCAGUGGGGAAUAUUGGACAAGGGGCGAAAGCCUGAUCCAGCAAUGCCGCGUGAGUGAUGAAGGCCUUAGGGUUGUAAAGCUCUUUUACCCGGGAUGAUAAUGACAGUACCGGGAGAAUAAGCGCCGGCUAACUCCGUG